UCAGGCCUAACACAUGCAAGUCGUACGAGAGUUUUUAACUCUAGUGGCGGACGGGUGAGUAACACGUGAGAAUUUGCCUUUAGGAGGGGGACAACAAUUGGAAACGAAUGCUAAUACCCCAUAUGCUUUCGAGUGAAAUGGAUUUUAUCCGCCUAGAGAGAAGCUCGCGGCUGAUUAGCUUGUUGGUAAGGUAAGAGCUUACCAAGGCGACGAUCAGUAUCUGGUUUGAGAGGACGAUCAGACACACUGGAACUGAGACACGGUCCAGACUCCUACGGGAGGCAGCAGUGGGGAAUUUUCCGCAAAGGGCGAAAGCCUGACGGAGCAAUACCGCGUGAGGGAAGAAGGCCUAUGGGUUGUAAACCUCUUUUUCAGGGAGGAAAAAAUGA
rnacentral:rRNA from 1 species